AUGGCACCCAAGGCGGCGGAGAAGAAGCCGGUGGCCACGGCCGAGAAGACGACGGCGGGGAAGAAGCCCAAGGCGGAGAAGCGGGCGCCGGCGUCCAAGGAGGCCGGCGGCGAGGCGAAGCAGCGGGGCAGGAAGAAGGGCAGCAAGGCGAAGAAGAGCGUGGAGACGUACAAGAUCUACAUCUUCAAGGUGUUGAAGCAGGUGCACCCGGACGUGGGCAUCUCCUCCAAGGCCAUGUCCAUCAUGAACUCCUUCAUCAACGACAUCUUCGAGAAGCUCGCCGGGGAGUCGGCCAAGCUGGCCCGCUACAACAAGAAGCCCACCAUCACGUCCCGGGAGAUCCAGACCUCCGUCCGCCUCGUCCUCCCCGGGGAGCUCGCCAAGCACGCCGUCUCCGAGGGCACCAAGGCCGUCACCAAGUUCACCUCCUCCUAG
rnacentral:rRNA from 1 species